AAGUCGAAGUGGCGACCACUCAACCGGUCAAAUAUGUAAUGACAAUGUCAUUCGCUAGCGUAAUUGUAUAAAUACUCGGAAGAACGCCCCGAGAUCAGACGCAUCUUUGGAAGCACUGAAGGUUUGUAUCCAGCGAUCAAUACCAUUCUCAACAUGGCCACGGCGAUUUUCAUGGUCCUGCUAGUUGCUGUAGUAGCAGUUGCUGCCGAGUAUCAGCACCCGUGGGAAGGAGGCAAGCACUCGAACUGUGACUUGGAAAGUACCACGAGCAUAUGUGGGCCCAGCGCUGGAUCACAUUGGCCUCGCCUUUGGAUAUACCAGCCACCCCGGGGUUGCCAAAACAAGCAAGUGUGCCCGUCCUUGCUGUCGUUUGCUUUCAAAAAUUACAGAGAAUGCAGAGACGCACAUAAACGUUGCGAGAAAUUGGAGAGCUGUCUUAAACAGCAAGAAAGGCGCUACUAAGGACGAAGGACGAUAUGGAUCUUCACGCCACAUCGUGCUCUACGAGCUGAACACUUCCUGCGCACUGUAGCACAUGAAAAUAAUAAACAGUACAUUUUCUUGUGGCCA